rnacentral:lncRNA from 1 species
UUCAAUUUACGGUUAGAAGGUGGUCGCGAACGUGUGCUACCAGGAAACAGUUCCUACAACUCAAUAGCUCCUACAACUCAGAGAGGUAUUUUUUAUGUUAUUGUUGCUUUAAUGUUAUGGUUAAUUAAUUAUACUUUUUCCUGAGGAAAUAUGUUUAUUGCAUCUGUUGCCUAGAUGUUAUUCUUUUCCUUUUAAUUUUAAAAUUGUGGCUAAUUAAAAUUCUCUGAUGUUUAGUGAUUGGAUUCUUCUUUCUAAUUAAUAUCCUGUGCGUAUUGAUUGCCCUUGAUUAUGCUGUAAACAUUAUUACAGAUAUAUUUAGGAAACUUCUAGAUUUCCACUUCCAUUUAACAUUUUAGGAUGAUAUCCAGUUAUUUAGCAGAUCGGUUCUGUUUAUUAUCACAAAUCCUUCAACAUAAUCAAAAGCUUUUUCUGCAAAUAUCAGUUUCUCUUGGUCUCUAGUGAAUGCUGUGAAAUCUGCAUAUCCAUUUUACCUGUUCAAAAACAGAAACACUCCAUGAUCACAACAGGUACUUGCAGGUAUAUAAUUAAAAUACAAAGGACCUUGUUUCUUGUCCUUGAUGCAUUACCAUGGUAGGUGCAGGUUCCAGGAAUAUUCUUGCCUUUGUUAUAAUGCCAAACUGACCUAGCCUUCCAAGUACACUGUGAAAGAGGUCACCAUUCUGCUCCUCAGAACAGUUUACCACCUCUCCUGUUCCUGCAGUCAUUUAAAAGACCAUCUUUUUCAUCCAUCCAAGAGAAAGCAUAUCUUUUCUCUAAAAAAAGCUAUUUGCAACUUGAGACUUCCUACCUUGGCCAAGGCUAAGUCAAAUGAUGUAUACUAGGGAAUCAUGUCAGUUUCAAGUGAAUUAUUAGUUCACAAAACACAAAAAUAGCAGCUGUUGUUUUAUGUGGAAUAUGCAAAGUAUGUUUUAUAUGUUAACCCCCUUCAGACUCUUGACCCUGUUCUUAUCUAAAUAAUUUUUUUAUUCUUAA